CAGCAUGGAGAAUGAAUGCUUGUGCUAACACUGCAGUGACCCUGAAUGAAGCAUACAUACUGAACCAACUGCAGAGAGUCACCUUCUCUGGAACCAUGCUUCAGUCUGUGAAAGGGGCCCAUCGUUUCUCCAUUGGACUCUGCGACGGUGGGAGCUGUAUCUCGUCUCCCACCUCCAGCGGCAGACAGAUGGAUGGAGCUGUGUAAUCAUCGAGGGAAGCAUGCGAUCUUCUCCCUUCACAAACCGCCACGAGGAGCAGAACCAACGGCCUUUUGUCUGUGCUUAGAAGUGACUGUCAAGUUCACAGGCUGAAUAUGGAUGAAGCGCCUCACAUGUAUGUAUGAGCGGAGCGCUCUAGACUGCAGGGUGUUGACAUCAUACAGAUGCUUUCCCAAGACAAGG